ACUAAAUACCCAAAAACUUGGUUUUAUUGACUGAGCAAGGAAUCGCUAGAUAGAGGUUAAAAUUGACUGAGCAAGGAAUCGCUAGAUAGAGGUUAACAUUGACUGAGCAAGGAAUCGCUAGAUAGAGGUUAACAUUGACUGAGCAAGGAAUCGCUAGAUAGAGGUUAACAUUGACUGAGCAAGGAAUCGCUAGAUAGAGGUUAACAUUGACUGAGCAAGGAAUCGCUAGAUAGAGGUUAACAUUGACUGAGCAAGGAAUCGCUAGAUAGAGGUUAACAUUGACUGAGCAAGGAAUCGCUAGAUAGAGGUUAACAUUGACUGAGCAAGGAAUCGCUAGAUAGAGGUUAACAUUGACUGAGCAAGGAAUCGCUAGAUAGAGGUUAACAUUGACUGAGCAAGGAAUCGCUAGAUAGAGGUUAACAUUGACUGAGCAAGGAAUCGCU